rnacentral:snRNA from 19 species
UCAGCUUCCUUUGCCAUAUGGCUUAGAUCAAGUGUAGUAUCUGUUCUUGCACAGGUUAACCCCUGGCAUGGGUUUCAACGCCCUUCCAAACAAGUUGACUUUAAUUUUUUGCUUUCGGAGUUAAAGCUCUUGGUUACGCUUGCGUAGCCCGGGGGCCCGCU